GAGCCCGAAGCAAUUCGAGCCAUUAAGAGAAAGAAAAAGGAGCCGAGCAGAGGAGCCUGGAAGCUGAGGCGAAGCUAAUCCCCGACAGACAGACAGACUCACUUUGCCUCUUGGCCCAUCUCCACAGACGCUGGGCUCCUGCCUUGCAAGAGCGAAUUAAGAAUGCCAUUGGAUCCAUCAGAGUUUUGAGAAAUGACUUAAGGGAGGAAGACCUUAUUUUGACUCAUGGUUUCACAGGACUUAGUCCAUGGUCACUUCGGGUCCCUCAUCUCUGGACCCACAGCAAGAUGGAGCAUCGAGGUAAAGGUUGCAGCAUAGAGAGCUACGCACUGAUGGUUGCUAGGAAGAGACUGGGGACCAGAUGAACUUCAAAGGUGAUCUGUGACCUAACUGCUCCAGCUUCACUUCCGAGCUGCUUCUACCUCUCAAUGGGGCCUUCAUAUUAUGAAUGCAGCAAUAAAUUCAUCCACCGAUUA
ensembl:lincRNA 1700057H15Rik RIKEN cDNA 1700057H15 gene